UCCUGGUUAACCCAGGCAGUCUCACUAGAGUUCCCAUCCGAAAUGUUGGCAACUAGUGAUAAGGGUUGCGCUCGUUGCGGGACUUAACCCAACACCUCACGGCACGAGCUGACGACAGCCAUGCAGCACCUGUGUAAAGGUCCUUUCGGAAGACGCUGUUUCCAGCGCUGUCCUCUACAUGUCAAACCCGGGUAAGGUUCUUCGCGUUGCAUCGAAUUAAACCACAUGCUCCACUGCUUGUGCGGGUCCCCGUCAAUUCUUUUGAGUUUCAGCCUUGCGACUGUACUCCUCAGGCGGUAUACUUAUCGCGUUAGCUUCGGCACAACCGGGGUUGAUUCCAGUUACACCAAGUAUACAUCGUUUAGGGCUAGGACUAC
rnacentral:misc_RNA from 1 species